UACGAAGGGGGCUGGCGUUGCUCGGAAUUACUGGGCGUAAAGGGAGCGUAGGCGGACAUUUAAGUCAGAGGUGAAAUCCCGGAGCUUAACUUCGGAACUGCCUUUGAUACUGGGUGUCUUGAGUGUGAGAGAGGUAUGUGGAACUCCGAGUGUAGAGGUGAAAUUCGUAGAUAUUCGGAAGAACACCAGUGGCGAAGGCGACAUACUGGCUCAUUACUGACGCUGAGGCUCGAAAGCGUGGGGAGCAAACAGG
rnacentral:rRNA from 1 species